CCUACGGGCGGCAGCAGUCGAGAAUCAUUCACAAUGGGGGAAACCCUGAUGGUGCGACGCCGCGUGGGGGAAUGAAGGUCUUCGGAUUGUAAACCCCUGUCAUGUGGGAGCAAAUUAAAAAGAUAGUACCCCAAGAGGAAGAGGCGGCUAACUCUGUGCCAGCAGCCGCGGUAAUACAGAGGUCUCAAGCGUUGUUCGGAAUCACUGGGCGUAAAGCGUGCGUAGGCUGUUUCGUAAGUCGUGUGUGAAAGGCGCGGGCUCAACCCGCGGACGGCACAUGAUACUGCGAGACUAGAGUAAUGGAGAGGGAACCGGAAUUCCAGGUGUAGCAGUGAAAUGCGUAGAGAUCGAGAGGAACACCCGUGGCGAAGGCGGGCUCCUGGACAUUAACUGACGCUGAGGCACGAAGGCCAGGGGAGCGAAAGGGAUUAGAUACCCUAGUAGUC
rnacentral:rRNA from 1 species